UUAUUCAGUACUCUUGGAUGCUCUAGAAGAGUCUCCUGUCUGCCCACCUUUCUAAAGAUCCUCACCGCAUUGUCUCUACUGGAAGAUGGUUCUCUCAGCUAAGAGCAAGAACUAUGUGCUAUUUACAUCUGAAUCUCAGCCCAUAGGAUACUACUUACCAUCGAGUAGGGGUGCAUUAGAUGUUUGUUGAGCAAAUAAGGAACAGGAUCCAGGAUUUUCAGGUUUAUUGGAUCCUAAAGCUCAUCCUUCCAAUGUUAUGUGGUCUUCCCUCCAUUGUGAUACUGAAGAGUGAAUAAUGAAUCUUCUUCUGUAAAAGGGGUGAGGACGUGUGCUGCCUCCUGCCGGGCGUUGUGGGGAAGAUUCAUUAGCUAAUAUCGGAAGUGUCUACGAAGGACUUAAAUCACUCAGGCAGGAUGUGGAAGACUAGGAGGUGUCAGAAACAGCCAUGUACCUGCCUAAUGAGGCUGGACAAGCUCGAGUGGACAGGAUGAGCUGGACAAGAGGAAAGAUU